rnacentral:rRNA from 1 species
GACGAACGCUGGCGGCGUGCUUAACACAUGCAAGUCGAACGGAAAGGCCCCCAUCUUGGUGGGGGUGCUCGAGUGGCGAACGGGUGAGUAACACGUGGGUGAUCUGCCCUGUACUUCGGGAUAAGCUUGGGAAACUGGGUCUAAUACCGGAUAGGACCAUGGUUUAGUGUCUCAUGGUGGAAAGAUUAUUGUUUUGGUGCAGGAUGAGCUCGCGGCCUAUCAGCUUGUUGGUGGGGUAAUGGCCUACCAAGGCGUCGACGGGUAGCCGGCCUGAGAGGGUGGACGGCCACAUUGGGACUGAGAUACGGCCCAGACUCCUACGGGAGGAAGCAGUGGGGAAGAUUGCACAAUGGGCGCAAGCCUGAUGCAGCGACGCCGCGUGGGGGAUGACGGCCUUCGGGUUGUAAACUCCUUUCGUUAGGGACGAAGCCGCACUUUUUUUGGGUGUGGUGACGGUACCUUUGUUAAGAAGCACCGGCUAACUACGUG